rnacentral:rRNA from 1 species
AACGAACGCUGGCGGCAUGCCUAACACAUGCAAGUCGAACGAGACCUUCGGGUCUAGUGGCGCACGGGUGCGUAACGCGUGGGAACCUGCCCUUAGGUUCGGAAUAACUCCCCGUAAGUGGUGCUAAUACCGGAUAAUGUCUUCGGACCAAAGAUUUAUCGCCUUUGGAUGGGCCCGCGUUGGAUUAGCUAGUUGGUAGGGUAAAAGCCUACCAAGGCGACGAUCCAUAGCUGGUCUGAGAGGAUGAUCAGCCACACUGGGACUGAGACACGGCCCAGACUCCUACGGGAGGCAGCAGUGGGGAAUAUUGGACAAUGGGCGAAAGCCUGAUCCAGCAAUGCCGCGUGAGUGAUGAAGGCCUUAGGGUUGUAAAGCUCUUUUACCCGGGAUGAUAAUGACAGUACCGGGAGAAUAAGCUCCGGCUAACUCCGUG